ACCCCUGUAGCUCAGCAGUAGAGCAGGCGACUCUUAAUCGUCGGGUCCUCGGUUCGAUCCCGGGUGGGGGUAC
rnacentral:tRNA from 1 species